rnacentral:rRNA from 1 species
GAUGAACGCUGGCGGCGUGCCUAAUACAUGCAAGUCGAGCGAACGGACGAGAAGCUUGCUUCUCUGAUGUUAGCGGCGGACGGGUGAGUAACACGUGGAUAGCCUACCUAUAAGACUGGGAUAACUUCGGGAAACCGGAGCUAAUACCGGAUAAUAUUUUGAACCGCAUGGUUCAAAAGUGAAAGACGGUCUUGCUGUCACUUAUAGAUGGAUCCGCGCUGCAUUAGCUAGUUGGUAAGGUAACGGCUUACAAAGGCAACGAUGCAUAGCCGACCUGAGAGGCAGAUAGCCCACACUGAAGCUGAAACACGGUCCAGACUCCUACGGGAGGCAGCAGUAGGGAAUCUUCCGCAAUGGGCGAAAGCGUGACGGAGCAAGGCCGCGUGAAUGAUGAAGGUCUUCGGAUCGUAAAACUCUGUUAUUAGGGAAGACCAUAUGUGUAAGAAACUGUGCACAUCUUGACGGUACCUAAACAGAAAGCCACGGCUAACUACGUG